rnacentral:lncRNA from 1 species
UGACUUGAAAGGUGCCUAUUAUGUUGAUGUUCAUGAGGUUUUAUCAAAAUGGCAUGAAAGCAUAACUUCCAAACAAAUGUCCUUUUUAGCAUGUUUUGCAUAUCCUCAUACUUAGUACGUGUGUUGUACUAACCCCUUUCUUCUAUUUUACUACAAGUGUAGGUUGUGGUAACUAGGAGGAGAUUGUGCUUUGGAGUUGCUU